UACGAAGGGUGCAAGCGUUACCCGGAAUUACUGGGCGUAAAGCGUGCGUAGGUGGUUCGUUAAGUCUGAUGUGAAAGCCCUGGGCUCAACCUGGGAAUGGCAUUGGAAACUGGCGACCUAGAGUGCGGUAGAGGGUAGUGGAAUUCCCGGUGUAGCAGUGAAAUGCGUAGAGAUCGGGAGGAACAUCCGUGGCGAAGGCAGGUCUCUGGGCUGACACUGACGCUCAUGCACGAAAGCGUGGGGAGCAAACAGG
rnacentral:rRNA from 1 species